AGCGGCGGACGGGUGAGUAAUGCCUAGGGAUCUGCCCAGUCGAGGGGGAUAACAGUUGGAAACGACUGCUAAUACCGCAUACGCCCUACGGGGGAAAGGAGGGGACCUUCGGGCCUUUCGCGAUUGGAUGAACCUAGGUGGGAUUAGCUAGUUGGUGAGGUAAUGGCUCACCAAGGCGACAAUCCCUAGCUGUUCUGAGAGGAUGAUCAGCCACACUGGGACUGAGACACGGCCCAGACUCCUACGGGAGGCAGCAGUGGGGAAUAUUGCACAAUGGGCGAAAGCCUGAUGCAGCCAUGCCGCGUGUGUGAAGAAGGCCUUCGGGUUGUAAAGCACUUUCAGUAGGGAGGAAAGGGUAUUGCUUAAUACGCAAUAUCUGUGACGUUACCUACAGAAGAAGGACCGGCUAACUCCGUGCCAGCAGCCGCGGUAAUACGGAGGGUCCGAGCGUUAAUCGGAAUUACUGGGCGUAAAGCGUGCGCACGCGGUUUGUUAAGCCAGAUGUGAAAUCCCCGGGCUCAACCUGGGAAUUGCAUUUGGAACUGGCGAACUAGAGUCUUGUAGAGGGGGGGUAGAAUUCCAGGUGUAGCGGUGAAAUGCGUAUAGAUCUGGAGGAAUACCGGUGGCGAAGGCGGCCCCCUGGACAAAGACUGACGCUCAUGCACG
rnacentral:rRNA from 1 species